UACGUAGGGGGCAAGCGUUGUCCGGAAUCAUUGGGCGUAAAGCGCGCGUAGGUGGCUAUGUAAGUCCGUUGUGAAAGUCAAAGGCUCAACCUUUGAAAGCCGAUGGAUACUGCAUAGCUAGGGUACGGAAGAGGCGAGUGGAAUUCCUGGUGUAGCGGUGGAAUGCGCAGAUAUCAGGAGGAACACCAAUAGCGAAGGCAGCUCGCUGGGACGUUACUGACACUGAGGCGCGAAAGCGUGGGGAGCGAACAGG
rnacentral:rRNA from 1 species